rnacentral:lncRNA from 1 species
CAGAGGUUAUCAGGUGGCACGAUACUGUUAUUCUACCCCUCUGAUGUUAAACGAGAAGGCGGAGUACUUUGUAUGACUUAGUGUUGGUGGACUUGAGUCAUAGGAUAAUCCGUACUAUCAAGAGGGGGCCCGCAAUUGGAAAUGUUGGGAGAAUCUCUCAUGUACACAUUCUUCUCCUUCUUUCCUUCCCAACACUUUGGAGCUGUUUUCUGUCCUUAGGAUCAUGUGCACCUUCAUAAGCGGUAGUACCACUACCAUGGGCGGUAGUACCGCUCAAGUGGUAGUGCCGCCCUGCAGUAUCGAG